CCUACGGGUGGCAGCAGUGGGGAAUAUUGCACAAUGGGGGAAACCCUGAUGCAGCGACGCCGCGUGAGUGAAGAAGUAUCUCGGUACGUAAAGCUCUAUCAGCAGGGAAGAUAAUGACGGUACCUGACCAAGAAACCCCGGCUAACUACGUGCCAGCAGCCGCGGUAAUACGGAGGGGGCAAGCGUUAUCCGGAUUUACUGGGUGGAAAGGGAGCGUAGACGGCAGCACAAGUCUGGAGUGCAAUCCCGGGGCUUAACCCCGGAACUGCUUUGGAAACUGUGCGGCUGGAGUGCAGGAGGGGUAAGCGGAAUUCCUAGUGUAGCGGUGAAAUGCGUAGAUAUUAGGAGGAACACCGGCGGCGAUCUGACGCUGAGGCACGAAAGCGUGGGUAUCGAACAGGAUUAGAUACCCGGGUAGUC
rnacentral:rRNA from 1 species